rnacentral:rRNA from 1 species
AGUGAACGCUGGCGGUAGGCCUAACACAUGCAAGUCGAACGGCAGCACAGUAAGAGCUUGCUCUUACGGGUGGCGAGUGGCGGACGGGUGAGGAAUACAUCGGAAUCUACUUUUUCGUGGGGGAUAACGUAGGGAAACUUACGCUAAUACCGCAUACGACCUACGGGUGAAAGCAGGGGAUCUUCGGACCUUGCCCGAUUGAAUGAGCCGAUGUCGGAUUAGCUAGUUGGCGGGGUAAAGGCCCACCAAGGCGACGAUCCGUAGCUGGUCUGAGAGGAUGAUCAGCCACACUGGAACUGAGACACGGUCCAGACUCCUACGGGAGGCAGCAGUGGGGAAUAUUGGACAAUGGGCGCAAGCCUGAUCCGGCCAUACCGCGUGGGUGAAGAAGGCCUUCGGGUUGUAAAGCCCUUUUGUUGGGAAAGAAAAGCAGCAGGUUAAUACCCCGCUGUUCUGACGGUACCCAAAGAAUAAGCACCGGCUAACUUCGUG